rnacentral:rRNA from 1 species
AUUGAACGCUGGCGGCAGGCCUAACACAUGCAAGUCGAACGAGUGGCGGACGGGUGAGUAAUGUCUGUGAAACUGCCUGAUGGAGGGGGCUAACUACUGGAAACGGAUGCUAAUACCGCAUACCAUCGGAUGUGCCCAGAUGGGAUUAGCUAGUAGGUGGGGUAAAGGCUCACCUAGGCGACGAUCUCUAGCUGGUCUGAGAGGAUGACCAGCAACACUGGAACGUAGACACGGUCCAGACUCCUACGUGAGGCAGCAGUGGGGAAUAUUGCACAAUGGGCGAAAGCCUGAUGCAGCCAUGCCGCGUGUAUGAAGAAGGCCUUCGGGUUGUAAAGUACUUUCAGUGGGGAGGCGUUACCCGCAGAAGAAGCACCGGCUAACUCCGUGCCAGCAGCCGCGGUAAUAC